ensembl:scaRNA
GGUCUCUUAUUCACUGGGCUGUGGGGAUCCUACUGCUCCUCAGCCAGCCUGAGGCCACAUCAGCCCUGGAGAAGGCCAGUUAGAGCUGCUGGGCAGCCUUGCUGUCUGCCUCGGACUCUU